rnacentral:rRNA from 1 species
CACGUAGGCGGCAUAGCAAGUUAAGGGUGAAAUCCCGGGGCUUAACUCCGGAACUGCUCUUAAAACUGCUAAGCUAGAGAUAGUCAGAGGCGGGUGGAAUUCCUGGUGUAGAGGUGAAAUUCGUAGAUAUCAGGAGGAACACCGGUGGCGAAGGCGGCCCGCUGGGGCUAUUCUGACGCUAAGGUGCGAAAGCGUGGGGAGCGAACG